GUAGGUGGCAAGCGUUGUCCGGAAUUAUUGGGCGUAAAGCGCGCGCAGGCGGUCCUUUAAGUCUGAUGUGUAAGCCCACGGCUCAACCGUGGAGGGUCAUUGGAAACUGGGGGACUUGAGUGCAGAAGAGAAGAGUGGAAUUCCACGUGUAGCGGUGAAAUGCGUAGAGAUGUGGAGGAACACCAGUGGCGAAGGCGACUCUUUGGUCUGUAACUGACGCUGAGGCGCGAAAGCGUGGGGGAGCAAACAGGAUUAGAUACCCUGGUAGUCCACGCCGUAAACGAUGAGUGCUAAGUGUUAGAGGGUUUCCGCCCCCUUUAGUGCUGCAGCAAACGCAUUAAGCACUCCGCCUGGGAGUACGGCCGCAAGGCUG
rnacentral:rRNA from 1 species